rnacentral:lncRNA from 1 species
GGGCAUGGAGAUUAUGGCGAGGCAUGGUGAUGCAGUGGCAGUGGUGAAGGUAACCACAUCGAAGGCAGCGGCAAUGGGUGGUUGUCGAUGAAAGCAGCAUGGGGAUGGGGGAGGUGGAGAGGCGAGGGAUGGAGGCGGAGGACGGCAGCCAGGGAGACGGAGUGGCAGUGAGAUUGGACGAGCUCGCCUGCGGAGUGCGUGGGCAAGAUUUCCUUUCCGGGUUGGACGAGGGCUUCUUUGUUUGUGUGUGUGUGCAUGUGUGAGUUCACACCGAUACUCGACCAAAUACUGUGCAUGGUUAUCUGAAAUUCUAGACAAUAGUUCACAUCCCAGCGGCAGGUAAGAACCUUCUUUUUAAUUUAUCAAAUGGCGUCAAUAGACCAUAAAAUUAUCUUCAUUUAUAAUACUAAAGAUAUGUCAAUACAUGUUCUUACAUUUAGGCUCCUAAACCUGUUGAAUGAGUUCUAUAUACAAGAUUUAUAUUGUCCUUCUAUAAAUUAAGACUACACUUGCUAUUGAUGAGUCUAUAAUUGUCAACCUGGACAGUAACAACACACUAUCGUUUUAUCUCUCAAUGUGAGCAAGUAAGAUUUUUUUUCAGAGCUUUAUUCUUUUGUAUUAUUUUUCUAUUACAGAAGUUGAUGCUCCAUCUUGUUAUUCAUUUCCUGGGAUCAUUUCUCGAGGAAUGUACGGAUUUCUCGAAGUGACGCAAUGCUAUGAUCUUCAACCAUGAAAAUGAAACUGUCAGCGCUGAUGGCCUGCUCCUGUGAUCUCAUAGGUACCAAAAUGCAGUUUAAAUCUCUUUUGGGGAAUUGGUUCCUGAUGUUACAUUUGGCUACUCCUGUAUAUCUUUUAGAUUUUUUUCUCUUUGUAAAUUUUGUUUUUUGUUUGCUCACCUUGUAAUCAACUCUGUAUUUGAUGAUUUAGAAAUCAGAAUUCAGUUUAACUCUGAAUUAACCCUUAAUGAUAAUAUAAUUGUUCUGAUUGCACUCAUCCCUAAUUCAUAGCUUCACCAAUAGUGAUAGCAUUGUGUCAAGGAGCAGGUGGAGAGGGAGAAAGAGAAAGGGAGAAUGGAAGCCAAGUGAUAGACAAAGAGAGUGAAAG